CCUACGGGGGGCAGCAGUGGGGAAUCUUCCGCAAUGGGCGAAAGCCUGACGGAGCAACGCCGCGUGAUCGAAUGAAGGCCUUCGGGUUGUAAAGAUCUGUUGACAGGGACGAAUAAGCAAUGCAAAUAGUUUUGUGUAUGACGGUACCUGUUUAGAAAGCUCCGGCUAACUACGUGCCAGCAGCCGCGGUAAUACGUAGGGAGCAAGCGUUAUCCGGAUUUACUGGGUGUAAGGGGAGCGUAGACGGCGUGCCAAGUCUGGUGUGAAAGGCCGGGGCUCAACCCCGGGACUGCAUUGGAAACUGGCAGGCUGGAGUGCCGGAGGGGCAAGCGGAAUGCCUAGUGUAGCGGUGAAAUGCGUAGAUAUUAGGAGGAACACCGGUGGCGAAGGCGGCUUGCUGGACGGUAACUGACGUUGAGGCUCGAAAGCGUGGGGAGCAAACAGGAUUAGAUACCCCUGUAGUC
rnacentral:rRNA from 1 species